CCAGUAGCUAGUGCUAGAGAGAGCGACGUUCUAACUGGUUUAGAAAACUACUAAAACCCCAACAUCUCCCUUCUUACUUCUAAUUCUUUUGAACUCUCAGCGAUCUUCGUAAUUCUUUGCACUUAUGAAUGUCGAUCAUAUUCUUAGGUUCACAAGCUCCAUAUUUCACUCUCAAAAACCUCCGGUUUCUCCACAAUAUUUUCCCGGACUCUAAUCGGACGCGGUAGCUUCUAUUUACUCAUUCUUCUAGAACUUCACCUACAUCUGACCAUCUUCUAGUUCUAUAAUUUUGUACAAUUAUAAUAGCUCCCCCAUCUAACUUAGGCAAGUCUCUUGUAUUUAAAUUUUAAAUUCAUUUUCCACUGAUUGAGUCCGGACCGUUGUAUCAGAACUUCUCCAAUGUUGUGCUAUAUUAGACCGUACUUGAUAACCAAAUAACAUCUCAUUAGGUGAUUUUCCAUCAAUCUUCGGGGUUUUUCUAAACUCAAUGCCUUCAUUGACUUGACUAUACUUUCAGCGUGGCCGUUACUUUGAGGAUAAUCAGGAGAUGAUUGUCCCCAUGUUAUGCUCCAUCUCUUUAAAAACUCCUUAAAUGCUUUAGAAUUAAAGUGUGUACCUUGAUCCGUCCUCAAUAUUGUAGGAAUUCCAGUCUCCAAAAAUAGCUUCCUCAACACUACAAUUACAUCUUUAGAAUUAGGAACUCUAUUAAAUUUCUUCUAUGUUAGCAGAUGCAAUUUCGAACGGUCUUAUUGGAGUUGGAUCACACAAAAAAAAAAGUGAUUCCUUUUGUAAAGGUGAGAACCUUUCUAUACAUUUCCUACAUAAUUGUACCAUUUAUUGAAUUUUCAUAUUCAUUCUUGGCCAAUAAAUCGUUUGUCUGGCUCUUCUCUUUGUCCGUUCUAUUCCUUGAUGUGAAUAAUGAAGCAUUUCCGAAAUCUCUGUCCGUUUAACUUUUGGAAUUAUCAAGCGAUAUUUAUAUAAAACAAGGCCUCCGUCAGUGCUCAAUUCAGGUCGAUAUACUCUUGAUCUCUCUUAAAGACUCCUCACGAAUAUUUUCUAGUAAUGGAUCAAUUAUUUUCUUAUGAAGUACCCUUAAUAAAUGUGUCCAGGAUCUCAUGAUCUUUUCCUUCCCUCCAUUCCGCCCUGAAUUGAUACAUGGACAACUUAAGUUUAUAACGGAUCAAUAUCGCAUUUUCAACCAUAUCUAUAGUGUAAUCCAGCUAAAAAUAUAUGGGACUUCUUAACUGCCCACAAAAUUCCCAAUCACUCCAAUUCGAUCAUGGCAUAUCUUGUCUCUGCACUAGACAAAAAUCGAGAUCCACAUUGUAUUAACUUCUAUCCCUCUUUAUGCUUUUGACGUAAAUCAUAUCUUAAACCAUUUAUUUUUUAUGCAUCUGCCUCGACGCUUAUUUCUAAUUUCGGAUCGAAUGGUGCUAAUAUGGGCGGCAAAGUCAACGUUUCUUUCAAUUUAUCCAUGGAUAAGGUACGGCUGCUUCAAUUAUCUUUGAUGAAAAUGGACUCAGUUGAUUGACUAAGCCCAAUAAACUCCUUUUUUUCUUUCUUUUUUUUGGAAAUUUACUUAUUGCACACAAUUUAUUUGGAUCAACUUCCGUGCCCUCUGGAAGCCAUAAUUUUCAUAAAUUUGGAGGGAUAAUAAUUAGAUACACUAUAGCCAUUGGCCAUAGCCCAUCUGCAUCUUUAAAAUAUCAGAGACACUAAGGUGUCUAGGAUUUUAAUAAUCCACUUGUAGGCGCAUUUAUUUAAAGAUGACGACUGGACAUAUAUCAGCAUUAAAUUAUAUCAUUUACCAUACUGAUUUUCAUUGUAGCUGACUGAAGAUUUUAAUAUAUUAGAGUCUCACUAUCCUGAACUGCCACUCCAAGUCUCUUUAUUAUAUCUACGUAUUACUUUCUCAAUGACUAUGACCUCAUACAAAGAAGAUAGAACAUUUGUACAUUGCUGUAAGUACAUACAUAUAUACAUACGCAUACUCAAAUAAGGACAAUAAUUUUUUGAACCCUUACUCGAAUGGUUGUAUACAUACACAUUUAAUUCAAUAAAAGAUUCAAUGGAAUUUGGAAUUUUUAUGUGAUAUUAUGGUUUAUAUUGCUUGAAUUUGAGAGUAUAUGUAUGGUCUUUGUAUUAGUACAAAUGUAUUUGCUACCCCUAGAACACAAAGAAUAUUUUAUACAAAUACAAAAAUAGAAAGUUUUAUUACUAAAAUAUAAUAGUAGAUACGAAUUUCGUUUAAUAGCGAGUAGUAUAAAAUUAAAUAACAAAAAUAAUUAUAUUUGUAAUUGAUUAUUGAGUCACAUUAAUGAAUAAAACAUAUGUGUUGAGUCAACACUGAAGUAA
rnacentral:lncRNA from 1 species